GGAGGGUGCAAGCGUUGUUCGGAAUUACUGGGCGUAAAGGGCGUGUAGGCGGUGUGGUAAGUCAGAUGUGAAAGCCCUGGGCUUAACCCAGGAAGUGCAUUUGAAACUGCCAUGCUUGAGUAUGGGAGAGGAGAGUGGAAUUCCCAGUGUAGAGGUGAAAUUCGUAGAUAUUGGGAGGAACACCCGUGGCGAAGGCGACUCUCUGGACCAAUACUGACGCUCAGGCACGAAAGCGUGGGGAGCAAACAGGAUUAGAUACCCUGGUAGUCCACGCCCUAAACGAUGUCGACUGGGUGUUGGGAGAGAGAUCUCUUGGUACCGUAGCUAACGCGUGAAGUCGACCGCCUGGGGAGUACGGCCGCAAGGCUG
rnacentral:rRNA from 1 species